rnacentral:rRNA from 1 species
UACCUGCAGCUCAAGUGGUGACCGCUAUUAUUGGGCCUAAAACGUUCGUAGCCGGUUUGGUAAAUGCCUGGGUAAAUCGUGUAGCUUAACUAUACGAAUUCCGGAUAGACUGCCAAACUUGAGACCGGGAGAAGCUAGAGGUACUCCUGGGGUAGAGGUGAAAUUCUGUAAUCCUGGGGGGACCACCAGUGGCGAAGGCGUCUAGCUAGAACGGGUCUGACGGUGAGGAACGAAGCCCUGGGGCGCAAACCGGAUUAGAUACCCGGGUAGUCCAGGGUGUAAACGCUGCUUGCUUGAUGUUAGUUGGGCUCCGAGCUCAAUUAGUGUCGGAGAGAAGUUGUUAAGCAAGCUGCCUGGGAAGUACGAUCGCAAGAUUGAAACUUAAAGGAAAUGGCGGGGAGCACAGCAACGGGUGGAGCGUGCGGUUU